rnacentral:ncRNA from 1 species
UGGGGAAACGCAGGCUCCCCUUCAGACGGCCCGUCCCGUCCAAGCUCUGC